GCGGGCGGACGUCACCUGACGGGAAGCCCCGCCCCGCCCGCAGGCGUCACGUAGCCGCUUUCCCAGGGGCGAAGGUGGAGCCGGGCUCGGCCGCCUGGCCCUGCGCCCGGACUACCCCGCCCGGUGGUGAGGUGGUCAGUGCCUCGGGUUUCCUUUUCCUUAUGAAGAAGUCGUCCCUACCGUGGAAAGUGACCAGGGGGCCCCCGGGAGGGACCCAGCCGGCCUUUGCGGGGCCGCCCCACGCGGGCAGGUUCAAACGGUGGAAAUCCAUUCCCUCCCAUCCCGGAAGCCGGAGUCCAAGAUCAGGACGCCCAGGGCGGUUUCCCUCUGAGCCUGUGGCGGAGACCCUGUUCCAGGCCCUCUCUCCCAGCCGCCAGCGGGUGCGGCAGACCUGGGCGUUCCUCGGCUUCUAGAGGCAUCACCCCGGCCGCCUCGGUCGUUCUCCCGCUGCGCGUGCCUGUGUCCAAGUUUCCCUCUUAUGCGUUAUGUUUUAUUACGUUUUCGUUGUGGUAUAGUUAACUUGCAGGGUUAUAUUAGCUGCAGGGUUAUAUUAUAUUCGGUAGAGUGGUUGGCCAGCGCUCAUCACUAUCCCCCUCGCCUCGUUCGUCCGCGCCCCCACCCACCUUCCCUGGGGAGACCACCUGUUUGUUCUCUAGAUGAGAGAUUUUGUCUCUCUUUUUCCCUGUUCGUUUCUUUUGUUUCUCAAAUGCCACAAGUGAGUGAGAUCUUAUGGUAUGUGUCCUUCUCUGACAGACUUACUUCACUGAGCCAUUUUCCCUCCGGAUCCGUCCACAUUGUUGCAAAUGGCGAGAUUUCAUUGUUUUCAAAUUUCCCCUUUUUAUAAGUGUAAGUAAGGGUUAAGAGCUCUUAUAGACCCCAGAGCUCGGGUCAACUAGAAAGGAUAAAUCAGACCCUAAAAAAGACCUUAACCACAUUGUCCCUUGAGACGGGCGAAAACUGGGUCGAUGUCCUGCCUUUUGCCCUUUUGCGAGCGCGUCGUACUCCAUUUGUCAAGGGAUUUUCCCCUUAUGAAAUUUUAUUUGGCAGACCUCCACCUAUCCUGCCGAGGCUAGGAGACGACGUAACGGAACAGUUGGAACGGGACCGCUUGCUGGCCUCACUCGUGGCCCUGCAACAUGUACAAAAGGAAAUAACCAGGGCCUUCGCUCAUCCUCCUGUUCUUCCCCACCCCUUUCAACCAGGAGACUUAGUCCGGGUCAAGAGGCACGAGCCUAAAACCCUGGAGCCGCGCUGGAAAGGACCGCACGCACACCGUGAUCCUGACCACGUCCACGGCCGUGAAGGUGGAUGGUGUCCAAACCUGCAUUCAUCACUCUCAGGUUAAGAAAAACUGUGUGAAGGCGGGAACACCCCAGACUGAUUCGGAAGCAGAUAACGAACGGCAAUGGAAGGUCCCGAGGCACCCAGAGGAUCCUUUAAAGCUAAGACUGAUGCGGGCAUAAUAAUAAUAAUUGUCUGGGUUUGUAUAAUGGUGAUGAUCAAACGAUGUGGUCGGCUUUAAAAACUCUGUACCCCGGCUGUUUGAGGCCGCACUCUGAUCAAGAGUGUUGGUCCCCGCUGAGUUCCAGCCAGCCCCGUGUCGGGCUCCAUGCUGACAGCUCGGAGCCUGGAGCUGCUUCCGAUUCUCCUUCUCUCUCUGCCCCUCCCUGCUUGUUGUCUCUCUCUCUCUCUCUCUCUCUCUCUCUCUCUCUCUCUUUCAAAAAUAAAUAAAACAAAGACACCUCUGGAGGCAGCUCCCAUGGCACAGGGGGCAGCCAGGUAAGAAGGGAUGAGUCCCGAAGGAGCAUUUUGCUUGAGUCCCGAAGUCGAACACAUCUUCCUAACUGCCCGCCAAGGGCCAUUCCGAGCACCUCUCACAUGCUGCUCCUCCCCGACACUGCUGGCCACGACACUGAGUGAUGCCACGUGAGCCUUGGACGUAACCAGCGCUUCACGUUGCCAUCAGACACAGACUUCGAUCGUGUAGUUGCUGGGGAAUCAGGAGGCGAAGCAGGCGGACAGAGAAAGGGACUUGGGAGGAAGACGACAUCUUGGCUCUGGUAUGGCUGCUGGGGCUGAGGGUCAACCCCCUGCUGCUUCCAAGUCACAGAUUCGUCCCCCGGGGCAGGAGGUAGUAUUUCCACCCUGGUAGGUCUCGGAUGGUGCUGCUUUCCCAAGGAUCACGAGGGUCCCUGUAGGGCCUGCCCCGGCAAUGCUGCUUCUCGUUCCGCUCGCGAUGCCAAAAACUCGAAAGCGGGACCUUGAGGAAAUAUUUGCACACCACGCUCACCGCAGCAUUAUUCACCAAGUAAUAACGGAAGUGAUCGGAGAGUCCGUCAAGGGAUGUAUGGACGACCUGGAGUCCAUCCACACCGUGGUAUGUGACUCAACCUUAACAAGGAAGGGAACUCUGACAGCUGCUACCAUGCGGCUGAAGUUCGAGGGCAUGAUGCUGAGUGAGGCAGCCGGUCACCGCAGGGACAGAUAUUGUAUGAUUCCGGCUCUGUGAGGGCCCAGAGGAAGCCAGUCCAUAAAGACAGAAAGUAGGACGUGGGGCGCCAGGGGCUGCGACAGGACGGGGGGCAGUGUUUCAUGGGACAGAGUUUCAGGUUGGGAAGGUGGAAAGUUCCGGCGGGGGCGGGGGGGGGGGGGAGAUGGGCAUACAACGAUACGGACAUACUUAACACUGCAGAAUUGUGCAUUUCGUGCUGGUCAAGAUGGGAAAUUUUGUUACGUGCAUUUUUAGCACAAGACAAGUCACUAAAAAAAAGAAAACCCAAACAGACGGGCGGCAGUAUAGGACCCAGCCCUACCUGUUCACCACGCAGACCGAACGAGCAGGAGGACCGAAAGGCAGACUUUCACCCGAGCACCAGCUUCAGGAAGUGGGAUGUGGCUUGACGAGCUACAGUCAUGAUGCACCUGCUCAAGGCUCACCCAGGGCUCAGUCAGACUGAGAACAGAGACUUCUACGAGAUUCAAUCCUUCAACACGCGUUAGCAUUUUUCUGUCAUAAUAAAUCAGGUUUCUUCCUCGAAUACGUACUCGGUUCUGAGCCGAAGCCUCAGGUCACAGGAGACUCAUACAGAGACGUCACUAAGCCGCACUUUGGGGUCUGAGUCAGCUCCCUACUUCUGGGUCUGCCACGUGGGUCUCUGUCUCCUCUCCCCUCCUUUAAAGGACCAUCAAAUGUGCUCCUCCCUGUUUAAAAGGCCAAAAGCAGCCAGAAUGAGUGGGCAAGAGAAAAAAAAAAAAAAAAGGCCAUCCAAACGGUACAUGAAGAAGUGAAGUCUAUUCACAGGACAUCCUCUUAACCACAGAAAACCCUGGAGAGUCCCCUAAAUGAGAAACAACCCUCUAGAAGUAAUAAACAAAUUCGGGACUGAAGCCUGAUUGCAGGGACUGUCCUGUCUCACA